AAUGUGAAUUAGAAGAAGCAGAAUCAGAUCAUCAAGUGAUCUGAAUGGCGAAGGCAGCAGCCUUCCCAAAGGAAAUGGUACAAACUCAGAAGUCAAGGAAAUGUUGUCGUGAGCAGGGAACCCAACCAAGGAAAAAUUCACUCCACAUUUUACAGGAGUUACAAGACUGGUGAGGAAAGCUGGGUUCUUGGCUGACGUUUGUAUUGAGCUGAUCACCAAGAGCAACACGUGCAUGACUAACAACCCCAUAAUAGGCCCUUCCUUACGAGCUGUAAUGGGAGCUGUGCUGACAGAUGUGACGGGUGUUCUCAGCAAUCCUUGGGGAGUGACAACUGCAGAGCUCACACACAAGAACAGGGAAGUGAUGCUCUGCUAACGGCAAAUACAUCAAAAAAGUUGAGCGUGGUCUUCCUGAUGCCACUCAGAGACAAAGGAGAGCCACCAGCAUCUGUGAUGGCUCUGAAUCAGCGGAAGGCAAAUGGAGCUGACCGUGAGGCCAGGAGAGAAGGCUUCUGCAGCACAUCCCCUCUCCACAGGUCCCAAAGGAAUCCACCAACGGCUAGCCAUAUCUCUGCAAGAGCUCGGAAACGAAGAUGGGAAAGAACAGCUCCGUGUCUCAAAAUGUGCCACCUCUGAUUAAAAAUGGAUACCUACGGGGAAGAAUUCCCAAAAUGUAGACUAGAGAGAGCUGGAGACUUUUUAAACAGUUAUUCCCCAAGUUGUUUUUUCUUUGUGACAGUAUCUUACGUUUACAGUUUUGUUUAGAAAACACUUUCACUCUCUUUGUUCUAUGUAGUCCUCACACUAAGCUGUGGAGAUGGAUAUUAUCGAUAGUGUUAUUAUACCCAUGUAAGAGCUGAAGAAACGGAAGCUCAGAGUGACACACAGUCACCAGCAGGACUGUGACACCUGACUCUCAGCUCACCCUCUCCGUGUACACAGCCCAACAGCAAGCUCCCCGAGUGCAGAACCAUGGCUUCUAUUUCCCUUAGUGCCUAACCUACUGCUCCAAAUGGACACUCAUGAGUGCUUCCUGAUUAAACUACCUUAUUUGUUCCUA